rnacentral:lncRNA from 1 species
UAACUUCGGCAGAAUAAUUGGAGCAAGUACGGAAACAGAGAGCAACAAGAUCGUUCUUCCACAGUUGAAGAACUUACUUCUAGACCGUCUUCAAGUCACAAGGUUGUUCAGUACUAGACUACUAGCAGUGGUACUGUUGAAGUAUUGAUAUUGAAAUCAAGUGUUCUUCAUUGGAACACUUGCAUGUCUGUCAAUGACUUCCCCCAGAUUUCAAUCUCUGCAUCUGACUUCAACAACAUUAACCAAGUCCCACUAAAUCAUGGACAACAUUAUACCACAUUACAGGAGAGGAUUAAGAAAGUAUUACGUCUCUGGCAGUUCUAUGCACUCUAGAGGUAUGUCUUGUACUAUAAUGAUGAUUUUAACCCCGUCAGAGGUUAUUCUCAACUUUAACAACUUGAAAUGGCGCCAAGGCUGGCCUUCAAUACUAUUUAGAGGUGUUUUGGUAAUAUAGAUCUCUGUCAAUCUUUGGGUUUAAUGAUCUACCCAACAAUUGCAAUUUGCUUCUUUUCAUUUUAGUAAUCAACUGAUGCUGAUAAUGGAUUUCUGCAAAAGCAUAAAACAAACUUAGAGAUUUCAUGUAGACACUCAGACAUUCAUCUUGGUGAAUUUGUUGUUCAUUUACUAUAAGAAUACAAAUUGCAGAUAAAUGAGGUAGUCAUUGUGUUAAAUUAAUUUUUUGAUCAGCUGGAUGCAUAUUCAGAUAGAUUAUAUUAUUGGAUAAAUGAUGCAUUCUGAUCUAUAGCUUUUUUCCGACUUUCUGCAACUCUAAAUAUAAAUUAUACGGUUUGGAUUCAAUCCACAAACAUGGCAAGUCAAAAUAAACGACAUUCUCUCUUUUCAAGCUGCUUGGAGCUUUUCAAUUAUUCUCAUGAAAAAAGUGCUUGUUAUCAGUUUUUCAUUUAUAUUUUGGGUGAGUUCACAGUUGCAAAGUCACUUGAUCGAUGCACUAGAAGAUUUCUUAAAAAAUAUAUAUAUAUAUUAAAAACGUUUAUGUAGUUCAAUUAUAAUUAUUACAAUUACUUUAGUGAGUUUUUCUGUUGGAGAGACUUGUUUCGGUUAUAUAUGUGUUGAUGCAUGUUUUGGAGAACCUAGAAAGUAUUUGUGUUUGAGUUGUAAAAUUUGUACUUUCUAAAUCAUGCUAGUGUUAUUGUUUUUUCUAUGCUAAUGUAUUGCUCAUCUUUCAUAUAUUACCCUUGUAUUACUAAUUAAAGGUUUUAUCUCUUAGAUUUACUAAUUCUGAAAACCAAAUUUGGAAAGGCUUGGUCUUGGCGUUGGAGACUGAGAUGAGUAUGAAUCGAUUCUCUGUUUAUUUUUAGCCAAUUUUCAUUUCCUCAGUCGAUUUCAUUUCAGCUGCUCAUAUUUGAAAGCAAUCUCCUACCCGAUUUUUCUUUGACGUCUCAACUGUAACCUUAAUCAGAUGGCACAAAACCCAUCUUUCUCAUUUGACGCAAAUCUCCAGCUGCCAUUUCUGUCUUGGACUACUGAUUUUGGGCUACAUUUUAUACAAUGGGCUGCAAAAGAGGGGAACCACAACAUUCGUGGAUGAUAGACUUCUUGUACCAGGUCAUGUUAUUUCUCCCUCUAACGUAGAGGCAAUGAAAUUGUUGUCUUGUUCUGUCCCAAAAUUAUGCUGCUGCUUCUGCUAGGUGUUUGAGAGAACUAGUAGAUAUUUUUCAGUGCAUGGAGGACUGCAAGAGAAUUCUUCCAAUUUUUCAUAAUGUGAGAUAUCAGAAAGGAGUUUUGGAGAAACUUUGGAUAACCAUGAAAGGAUGUCUGUGCGAUACGAAUCUGAGAAGGUCCAGUGGAGAGAUGCUUUAACAAUAGUGGCCAGUUUGGUUGAGUGCGUGGGAUUAACAUAAUUACAAGUAAGCAUCAUCAAUUACUAAGAGUUAUACUUGUGCUUAUUCAUAUAGCUGACCAUUAUUUCACCCUUAACUCUUCCUUUUAGAUUGACAGAGAACUUCUCGACUCCAUUGUGUGCAGUAAAGUACAACCUAUUGAAAUCAACACGAGAGAUUUUGAAGCAUCGGAACCACCAAUUAUUGAAACUGAGCCUACAAUAUCGGAAUCAAAUGAAGAAUUUGAAGUACUUGAAGCAAGACGACGAGCUACUAAUGUGACUGAAUAUUUUGAACUAGUAGAAGCAACCACACAAACCACUAACGGAAACUGUGAGUUACUCGAUUUUUAGCUCUCUAUUGUCACUUCCUUAUGAUCUGUCACCCUCCCUUCAUGUCUGUUUUUCGCUGUGGUUUCCCUCUAAUCUGUUUCUCUUUGUUAGUUUCUUGACUGUUCUUGAUUAUUCAUUAUGGUAUUCAAACUUUGGGAGUUGGGUUAUUGACAAGAUGCAGCUUAAAAGACCAGAAAACAAUGGCUAACCUACGAAAAAUUAAACAGACAAUGUCCCUUUUCUUAAUAUAGGAUUAUGGGGAUGCUCAAAACUAAAUGUUUAGUUAAACUUAGGACACUGGACAUCUACCACUAGUUGUGUUUAGGGUUUGGGGUUUAGUAAACAAAGACGUGAAUCACGUGAUCAAAUUUGGGGCUCUGUGUGUAGCUUAUUUUCAUGGAGUUAAUUAGAUAGUCUCUCUGCCAUCAAAUAAAUCCACCCAUUCUUGUGAUUUCAAAAGUAAAUUACAUACAUACUUUCAAAAAAGAAGAAGCAAAUUACAUAAUUAUUAUACAUUCAAGUUCAAUGGGCAAUGACAAUGAUCUCAACAGAGAUUGGAGAAUCCUAGCUAGUAAGAGUGAAGUGAUUAGUUGAAUUGGUCUUGAAUUGAAUUGGCCUUGUUAUAAGGAUGUGAUAUCAGAAGUGUUAGAAGGGUUAUGAGUUAUGACUAGCUUGAUGUGUAGAACUUAGAAAUGUUAGAAUGGUUUUGGUAAAAAAGAAAGCAGAGUUCUGCAAGACCUAAGGUCAAGAUGCCAUAGGACCCAAAAGCACCAAUAAUUUGGACUAGAUGAUUUGCUAUGCUAUAAAAACAAAAAUUAUCCCCCAAUGUAGUUAAUUUACUCAUGAUGGUUACAAUAAAUUCAGUGAUUUUUUCUGUUUUAAUUUCAUUUGGACCAGAUGGUUACGGAGGCCUGUUUCAGCUACAAACACAUCAAGGCUGGUUAUCUAGCUAGCUGGGAACUCGUAUGCGAUGGACAAAAAGAUGCUAAAGGCAUCCUAACUGAGAGUGAAGUGAUCAGUUGGCAUGCUCUGGGAAAUGUCUCAAGGUAUUCUUGCCGCUGGGUUUGGAUUUUUUACCAGUUUGCUGUAAUCCAGUAAGUGCUAAAUGCUCUAGAAAUAGAAUUGCUUGAUGUGUAGAACGUAGAAAUGUUAGAUGGUUUUGGUAAAAAAGAAAGCAGAGUCCUGCAAGAACCAAGGUCAAGAUGCCAUAGGAAUAAUUAGGCGCUCAUAAACAAUGAAAGAUAUUUUCGAGGCCAUCGUAUUCAACUAGAACGAAGUAUCAAACAUUACAAUAACACAAAUUGGAACGACUUGUAAACGUUGUCUGGCUACCUACUAAUCACGGGGUGAGAUAAAUUAGAGAACUGUUUGAUAUCAUUUUCACACAUUUUAAAGUAUUAAGCAGGUUUCGGCUUAAUUGUUUAUGUUGCAUAUCGGAGAUGACCUUUCAAUCUUCUCAUAUUUUUCGUGAAGGGAAUAAGGUUGCAGAUGUUCUGGCUAAUCACAGUACGUCAUUAACACAGCUGGUUUGGUGGGAUUCACCUCCUCCUUUUAUUUUGUCAUAUUGUAGUAGUGACCUUAUGGGUCUUCCCCAAUUUUGGUUUUCAUAGUUUUGUUUCGUUUCGUUGUUAUUUUGCAAUGAGAGGUUUUGGUCUAAUCCCCCUCUCUUGAUAUUUCUCUCUUUUCUUUUUUAUUACAUAAAAAUGUUAGGAGUCAUUUCGCUCUCACACAUCUUUCAGCCGAAAAAAAAAAAUCAG